rnacentral:tRNA from 1 species
GGUAGUGUGGCAUAGUUGCUAAAGUACUGGACUAGGACUCAAGAGACCUGAGGUCCAUUCCUAGCUCUGCCA